rnacentral:misc_RNA from 1 species
GCUUCAUUUCCAGGGGUUACCUUCUUAGAGCUUUCAUCAUCACAUGUGGAGACCAAAUUUCCCAUUUCUGUUCCCUUAGAAUACUGAUCAUUGUCACCUUUGGGCGCCAAGUUUCCACAGUACUCAUUAACCUUGCCUUCAGAGGCUACUUUCUUCAGAACCUGCUUAAUUUCACCCUUCCCUUCAGGGUUUUCAUUUGACU